AUGGCUGUCGUCAGCUCGUGUCGUGAGAUGUUGGGUUAAGUCCCGCAACGAGCGCAACCCCCGCCCUUAGUUGCCAGCGGUUCGGCCGGGCACUCUGGGGGGACUGCCGGUGAUAAGCCGGAGGAAGGCGGGGACGACGUCAAGUCAUCAUGGCCCUUAUGCCCAGGGCUACACACGUGUUACAAUGGGGGCGACAGAGGGCCGCAAAGCCGCGAGGUGGAGCGAAUCCCCAAAAGCCCCCCCCAGUUCGGAUCGCAGUCUGCAACUCGACUGCGUGAAGCCGGAAUCGCUAGUAAUCGCGGAUCAGCACGCCGCGGUGAAUCCGUUCCCGGGCCUUGUACACACCGCCCGUCACACCACGAAAGUCUGCAACACCCGAAGUCAGUGGCCUAACUCUUAGGAGAAGGAGCUGCCGAAGGUGGGGUCGGCGAUUGGGGUGAAGUCGUAACAAGGUAGCCGUACCGGAAGGUGCGGCUGGAUCACCUCCUUUCUAAGGAGUACAUACCGUCAUCGUUGUCGACCAUAUGUGUCGACCGGUGGUGGUCACUCCCAGUUAGCGCACUGGUUAGUUGGUCACGUUCCCAGGCUCGAGUUACUCGAGUCCCGGUAACGGUGACGUUCCGUUCUCUAUCCCGUUUUGAGGGAGCGCCACGCGCUCGUCCUCAGUGGUCCGAUCCCACCUCCUCUGCGCACUCGAUGCGUGACGGUGGUGCCAUCGGGCCACAGGCCACGGCCGAUGGCGAACUUCCCACCUGGGAAGGAUCGCUACGCCGUAGCCCGGCCCCAGAGGCCGGCAGGUGCCUCUUGAGAACUGCACAGCGAACACGAGCAUCUUCAUCAAUUGUCGAUGUAUUUGUAAUUUCCAAGCUACUAAGAGCCAACGGUGAAUGCCUUGGCGACUACUACCGAAGAAGGACGUGGGUGGCUGCGAAAAGCCACGGUGAGCUGUCUACCGAGCUUUGACCCGUGGAUGUCCGAAUGGGGAAACCCGG
rnacentral:sRNA from 1 species